UCAUCUGAUGGGUUUCGCUUUGGGUAUCAGUACAAGACAGAUACCCCUAAUAUCCGUAGAUUGAUUACGAAUGGGACAGAAGCUGAACUGGGUUUAAUUCCUGUAUUCCCAACUUUGACUUUUCCUAAUCAUUAUGCUAUUGUUACUGGUUUGUACCCUGCUUAUCAUGGUAUUAUAAAUAACAAUUUCCUUGAUCCGAUUAGUGGAGAGCAUUUCACUAUGGGGAGUCAUGAUCCUAAGUGGUGGCUAGGUGAGCCGCUUUGGGAGACUGUAGUCAAUCAUGGUCUUAAGGCUGCUACUUAUUUCUGGCCUGGAUCUGAGGUAAAUAAAGGAGGCUGGACCUGUCCAGAGUCUCUUUGUAAGAGGUAUAAUGGUUCUGUGCCAUUUGAAGAACGAGUUGAUACUGUUUUGAAAUAUUUUGAUUUGCCAAAUGAUGAAAUUCCGUCGUUUAUGACACUCUAUUUUGAAGACCCUGAUCAUCAGGGUCACAAGGUUGGGCCAGAUGACCCUCAAAUCACUGAAGCCAUUGCAAGAGUUGAUAGCAUGAUUGGGAAGUUGAUCAAAGGCUUAGAAGCAAGAGGGGUUUUUGAGGAUGUGAAUAUUAUAAUGGUUGGCGAUCAUGGUAUGGUUGGCACCUGCGAUAGAAAGUUAAUUUUCUUGGAGGAUUUGGCUCCAUGGAUUGACAUUCCAAAGGAUUGGAUACAGUCAUAUAGUCCAUUGCUUUCCAUUCGUCCACCACCAAGUUACUCUGCCAAGGAUGUAGUUACCAAGAUGAAUGAGGGCUUAAAGUCAGAGAAGGUUAAGAAUGGGCAGUAUUUGAAAGUCUAUCUAAAAGAGGAACUGCCUGAUCGGCUGCACUAUUCUGCGAGUGACCGAAUACCAACCAUCAUUGGGUUGAUCGAUGAAGCAUUUAAGGUUGAACAGAAGAGCUCAAAGAGGUUCGAAUGUGGUGGAGCUCAUGGUUAUGACAAUGCAUUCUUCUCAAUGAGGACCAUUUUCAUUGGCCAUGGUCCUAAGUUUGCUAGGGGCCGAAAAGUCUCAUCAUUUGAGAAUGUUCAGAUUUACAACAUGGUUACCACAAUCCUUAACAUACAAGGAGCAUCCAAUAAUGGAACAUCAUCAUUU
rnacentral:misc_RNA from 1 species